CACUUUAACUAAUUAAAUUGAAUGCAACAUUUUCAUUUGGUUUUUGUAUCCAUAGAAUUCAUUUAAAUGGAGCUAAAUGAAAUGAAAAUCCAAUUCUCAUUUAAAGAGACAAAACCAUUUUGUUCUCAACCUAAUUUGGGUCAAAAUGCAAUAACCUCAACAUUUUGUAAAAACACAAAAGUCCACUACUUCAUGUAAUUACAACUAGAACCCAAAAAUUUCAACAAAUUCGAAAACUUCAUUAAAGGAACAAAAAAAUUUGUCCUUUAAUGAUUUUGGGCCUUUACGUAAAUACGUAAACUUUUGGGUCAAACUACAAAUUACACAAAAGUACCAAAACUUUAUGUAAUUGCAUAAAAGCCCCAAAAACACCCCACUUGUAGGGUGGCCGGUUUUGGAGAGAAGGGAGUGAUGUGUGUGUUGAUUUGUAGUUUUAGACAUAAAGUCAUGCAAGUGGUGCAUGACAUAAAUGUCAUGCAAGUGGUGUGUGUGAAAGGGAAUUAAUCCUUACACACCCACCAAUAUUUCUUACACCUUUCUAAAUAAAUAUCUAAAACAUUUAAACAUAUGAAAGACAUAAAACAUAAACUUUAUGAAAUAAAUCAAAACUUUGAAUCAAAACACCAAACUUUUUGUUCUUGGCAAAAAUGUCAAGAACAAUGAAGAACACUCAUGAAAAACUCAAAAAUUUCCAUGAACAUUUUUCACCCAAAAACAUCCCAAAACCAUUCAAACUUAAGGGAAAUAACAUAUAACCAAACUAGGGUACAUAGGGGUUCCAAAAGUCACUUGAAAACACUUUUAACAAGUCAAAGAUGAACCCAAAAAUCCACCCUUUGGAUUUGGCCGAAUUUUCCCAAAAACAUGGCACCAAAUUUUAGCUCCAAUAUUCAUGCUCAUAUGAACUACAUUUACAACAUUUGAGAUGGCAAAUUUUCUAACAAAAUUUACAUUCAAAGAAACAAGCAUAAAGCUUGUAACAUAUUACAACUUUUAAAUCAAAAACUAUGAACUACAAAACCCAAAAGGAUUCACCACUACUAGACCUAGGCUCUGAUACCACUUGAAGGAAAUUUUGUGAAAAACAUGUUCAUUUAAGCAACAUCUAUAGCAUGCAAUUAACAAAUUAAAGGCGGAAUCAUGCUUGUAUGCACUUAAAAACAAAACAUUAACCAUGAAAUUAAAAGCCUGGUAGAUUGGUGAACCUUGACUCAACUUAAAACAACAUUUGUUAGUUGAGAAAUUAUACCUUUGUAGAUUCCUCUUUGCAUAAGCAAAGGCUAAUCACCCAAAGAGAGGGCUUUCAUUCCUUGCAUCUUAGAUCUAUGGAUUUGGAUGGAUGAAAUGGUUCUCCAAGUUCCCAAAAUUGAGAACCUCUAAGUCUCUUCACCAAGGUUAGAUUGGAGAAGAAAUGAGUGACCUUGGAGUAGUAGGAUUGCUAGCUAAACCCUCCAAGGAGGCCGGCCACUUUAGAGAGAAAGGAGAGCUUAUGUUCUCAUCAUUUCCCCAAAAGAAAAACCCUAAAUGAAUUUUGGCUAUAAAGUCAUAUUUAUACCUUAAUUCAUUGGAGUGGCAAACUUGUAAAUAAGUCCAAAACUCACUACAUCUCUAAAUGGCCAGCCUUAGGGUAUUAUUGGGCUAAUUGGGCCUUUGUGAAUCAUUAUUCAUUAAGUUGUCAUACAACUUAAUUCAAUGGGCUUGACGUUCGAAGCCCAUUGGGCCUUAAGGUCCAAAACUAUCCCGAGAUCUUUAAUGAACUUAUUCGUUUGAUUAAUUAACAUAUUAAUUAAUCCUUGCCAUAAAUAAUUAAAUCAUUUAAUUAUUCUUACUCAUCUCCAUUGUUUCUUCAAUCUCCACCUUACACGGUGUACGAUCCAUUAGGUUCCUUUUAGCGAGGCAGUGGGCGAUUAAAACCAUUUCAAAUCGAUUGUGAAUUGAAAUUUACUUUCAAUUCUCCCUUUAGUGAUUAUACACGUUUAGGGCUUCCACAAACCAUGAGUGACACUUAGCAGCAUAUCAUGGUUACCCAAGCUAAUCAGAAGAGGUGGAGAACCUAUUCAGUUU
rnacentral:lncRNA from 1 species